rnacentral:rRNA from 1 species
GUACACGCUGUGACUAGCAUAUCAAUAAGCGGAGGAAAGGAAACUAACAAGGAUUCCCUAGUAACGGCGAGUGAAGCGGGAAGAGCUCAAAUUUGAAAUCUUGAAAGGUCACCUUUCACGAAUUGUAGUUUAAAGAAGUGUUUUCUGUUACGAUCGUAAUAUAAGUUCCUUGGAAUAGGACAUCACAGAGGGUGAGAAUCCCGUCUAUGAUUGCGAUUUGUAGCUUUGUGAUACACUUUCAAAGAGUCGGGUUGUUUGGGAAUGCAGCCCAAAACGGGAGGUAAAUUUCUUCUAAGGUUAAAUAUUGGCGAGAGACCGAUAGCGAACAAGUACCGUGAGGGAAAGAUGAAAAGAACUUUGAAAAGAGAGUUAAAUAGUACGUGAAAUUGUCAAAAGGGAAGCGUUUAACACCAGUGUUGUUUUCUGAAAAUCAACCUCUGUUAGCUUUAUGCAUGUUUGUUUAGACCUAAUCAGCUAUCUUUCAUGUUCUAUUGUUUGCAGUGGUGCACUUUUCAGUUUACAGGUCAACAUCAGUUUUUUUUACCGUAAAAAAGUUAAAGAAAGGUAGCUCAUGGCUCCGGUCGUGAGUGUUAUAGUCUUUUUCCUAUGCGGUAGGAGAGACUGAGGUCUGCAGUGUAGGCUAUUUGGCUAGAUACUCAGGUGCUAUGUGAUACCAUUUCAUAAACAACUUGUUGAUUAUGUUUUGUCUAUUGCAUACUCGCUUGUACUAUCAUACCUACGCUUAGGAUGUUGAGUAGCGACAUACGCA